rnacentral:rRNA from 1 species
AGUGAGCGCUGGCGGUAGGCCUAACACAUGCAAGUCGAACGGCAGCACAGUAAGAGCUUGCUCUUACGGGUGGCGAGUGGCGGACGGGUGAGGAAUACAUCGGAAUCUACUUUUUCGUGGGGGAUAACGUAGGGAAACUUACGCUACUACCGCAUACGACCUACGGGUGAAAGCAGUGGAUCUUCGGACCUUGCGCGAUUGAAUGAGCCGAUGUCGGAUUAGCUAGUUGGCGGGGUAAAGGCCCACCAAGGCGACGAUCCGUAGCUGGUCUGAGAGGAUGAUCAGCCACACUGGAACUGAGACACGGUCCAGACUCCUACGGGAGGCAGCAGUGGGGAAUAUUGGACAAUGGGCGCAAGCCUGAUCCAGCCAUACCGCGUGGGUGAAGAAGGCCUUCGGGUUGUAAAGCCCUUUUGUUGGGAAAGAAAAGCAGCAGGUUAAUACCCCGCUGUUCUGACGGUACCCAAAGAAUAAGCACCGGCUAACUUCGUG